AAAAAAAAAAAAAAAAAAAAUUCCUGAUUCAAAUCACACAGUAUGGAGAACCAUAAUAAAAAUGUCACCCGUUCACAUAACAAUUUCCGCAAGGCUCGUAUCAGUUGGUAAGCUCCAUUAUGGCAGAAACUAUGUCUCCAUCAGCAGCCUUCAAAGCCUUAACCGCCUUUGACCUGGAGACUCCUGCUUGUGUCAUCACCAAUUCAAUAUCCUUUGGCUCAACUCCAGUUUCAUCCACCUCUUCAUCAUCCUGAGCAAUGGUUGAAGUCUCAGGCUUGGAAAUCACAUGGCUAAGAUCAGGAGCCUUAAACUGCUCUGCAGCCUGAGUCUGUAGUUGUGAGCUCAAGUCUUCAAUCUUAGCCUCACCAAAGAUAACAUAAGUGUCUGAAGUUGGGCUUUUGAAAACAUCCGGUUUUGAGAUAACAAACAAAAUCUGAUUUUAGUAGCAACCGAUGCUGUGUUAGCAAACAUGACAAAAAAUAUAUAAAAGCAGAAAAAUAAACAAACAUUAAUCAAAUGAAGUGGGAAGAACACACAUUCUUGCUCUUUUUGACAGUAACUCGACUAACACCAGGGAUAGGUUUCAUUCCAAGCUUCAACAUUGCUUUUCUACUCUUCUUUUCACUUCUGCUUUGCUUUGACCUACCACUUGCAUCUCCAUCUUGUUGUCCUAUGAACAAAAGAUAAGCAAGAAAAUUUGUUGGCAUAAAUAAAUAAAUUGCAUACUAAAUAAAGCACGUUGCAUCUCUAAGGCUACUUUAUAAAUUCGAAAUGGGCAAAUAAUGAAUCAAGAGUAUUGUCUUUUACCCUCAGCCUCAUCUUCAUCCUUGUCAUCAUCAUCAUCAUCCUCAUCCUCAUCCACCUCGUCCCCAUCAUCGCCAGACAUCUCCUCAUCUUCAUCUUCAUCAAGAGUUUCUUGCCCAUGAGGCUGUAUUUCAAAUCGUAUUCCAACAGUAUCCAUGCCAUUUUCAAGACCCCUUGCAUCCUCCGAAGUUUCCUGCAUAUAGUCAUCCUCAGUAGCAGGGGCAAAACCACCAUCAAGAUCUUGGUCAUGUUCCAUAUCAUCUGCAACAUCUUCAGAUCGACCAAAGUUUUGCCCAUCAUUAAAUGAUUCAACAUGGUCAGCUGACACAGAAUCAUGGUUGGAUUGGGGCACAAUUUCUGUGGAUUGGGAUAUAUCAACAAUAUUCUCGGCCCUAGCUAAUUGACUCUGAACAGGAGGUUUUAUUGAAUUCUCACUCUUCCCAGUACUAGACUCAGCUGUGUUAACAUGUUCUUUGGUCACCAACUCCAAAGCUUUGACAAGUGCAGUCACGAGUUUAGGCGAGUCAGUAUGAUCCAGAUCCAACACUUCCAGUGUUCGAGUCAAGGACUUAACCAGACCAACAUCAAUAAAAGUGGCAGAAGCAUCUGGCGAGAUGUAUGAACCUGUAGGUGUACGGGCAGCAAGUACAUCAUUGAGAAGAUCAAUAUAAGUCUGUAUAUCAUUGGUUGGUGGCCUAGAUCCAUUGCAUGAAUCAACAAAGUCGCUGAAAAUGCAACUGAUAUCUGUGAACACCCUCUUUCUUGCCUCAGUUGAGCGAACACAAGAUGCCACCAAAAACUGACUGGCCCUGGUUGCUAGUUUAUGCCUCCAGUCACCAUCUAAUUUCUUUUCUUUUUUCAAAAUUCGAGAAUAAGGAAUAAACUUGUGAAGAAUAUGGUGAAAUAUUCCUCCAGUACAAAAACCAGUAGAACCCUUUAGAUGAGAACCCCUGCAAUUACUAACUUCAGCGUCUCUUCUCAGUAGCACAUGAACAGAUGAAGAAUACAUCAACAAUAUCUCCGUCAAAAGCUUCAGGAUAAAUACAAUCUUUGCAAGCAAUGCAGAAGCUUCCUGACUACUGGUUUCAUUCGCUCCAGGAACAGUGGCUAUGGCUUUUCCUUUUCCCUUGAUUGCAGCAACAUCAACAUCCAUGUCAGUUGAUGAUGGUACAUCUUGAGGUACAUCUAUCACCGCAUCAUCUUUUGAGGGAGGCACAAAGCUACUCAUUACAUCCAAAAGAAGCUCAAUCACAGUUACAAAACUCUGAGGAGAUUUUCGGUGUACUUUAGCACUCUUGGAAUACGAAUCAUGAAGUUUUCCAUGCACAUUCCCUGGUGCCAGUGUGUUUAUAUUGCCCAAAGUAGCCUUCCCCUCAUUUGAGUGUGAUUUAUCUUUCUCCAAUGCUUUGUCCUUCUCCUUCUCCUUCUCUUUCUCUUUGGCUUUAUCUUUCUCUCGAUCCUUCAGCAACACAAUGUAAGGCCUUUCACCUACCAUCUCAACUUGGCAAACGGAUCGUGCAGCCUGCAUAAAAAUCAUGGGAUCCCGUGAAAUGACAGAGCUUAAAUUUAAAAGGAAAUUGCGUGGAGUGACCCUUCCAUUUGAAUGUCUAUUAGCAGCAGCCACAAGAUUGUGCUUUAUCUCAGAUUCCAUCGCUUGCUGAAGAGUUUGGGGAUCUUCAAGGACAUGACGAAUGAUAGUAGCAGCAAUAUUGUCAAAUCCAGGAAAAAGGCUACUUGUUGGCAAAUUCAGCAGUGAAUUUACACCCUCAGCUUCAAGAAAACAAACAGCAAUAGAAUGAGUUCUGGUGAGAGUGGAACAUAACUGCAGAAUAGCAUGCAUUGUCUCAGAUGGAAGCUGGUUCUUGACACAAUGACAAGCAAUCCGAAUGAGUCUCUUCUGUGCUUCUGCCUCUAUUUUCUCUGUAGGUGAUCUCAGUGCAGACUGCAAUCUGUUUUGCUUAUCCUCAUCAAUAAUGAUUGAGGUUUGCUGACUGCUUAUGUCAUCUCUCUUCAACUGCUCGACAAUUGCAGAAUUCAGUUUCUGAUCCACCUGAAGUAGGCGAUCAAUAGCAAGAAAAGCUGUUGUUACCCAUUUGGGAACCUGAUGCUCCUCUUUGUCCACCAAAGCAGAAUCCCAUUGCGUAAGUAAAUCAGAGACAAUUUUAACCAUACCAUUCUUUAAAGCAAUUUCUCGUGCUAGUGCAUCUUCAUGAAGAAUCAAGGCAAGGACAUGGAAAAGAGCAGAUAACAUGGUACUAUUUCCGUCAUCAGAAGUCAGGUUCCGAUCCUUCACUUGGUCAAGAAUAAAUGAGAUGACACUAGACCUAUAUUGGCCAUCACUUUGAGUGCAAAUCAACACAAGAAGAUCACGAACUGGGAAAGCAAGAAGCUCCUUCACUUGCAAAAGCUUUACGCAAGUUGAUAACAACUCAUCAACUGGAGGAAGUUGAACCAUCUCUUCUUCAAGCUGUUGACCACUGGCAUUUACAUCAUCUUCCUUUGUAUCUGAUUCUGAGUUGCCCAGAGACAUGGCAAGUGCACGCGCAAGCUCAUCAUCUUCUUGAGUUUCCUCAGGGUGGGAAAAUAACCACUCCAUUGCCAAUUCCACACUAUUAGAUCCAACUUGCCUUAGAGCCUCUUCUGCCCUUGACCUGGAAAAACCCAUCUCCACAAUGGUUGAAAUGGCUGUUUCAUUCAGGGGAGGACCAGUAAUACGAGCACUGUUGGUGUUAUUCACAUUUUUCACUUCCACCCCUGAAUAAACAUGCCUAAUGAUAGAAAUAACUGUACUAAUGAAAUCAUUACUGCAAUCGGUUAACUGAGGGUGAGUCCAAACAGGAAGCACUGCCUUCAGCACCAUAGACUGAAGCACUUUAACAAAUGUCUCAGCAUCCCGAGGAAAAGAUGAGGCUCCAUUUGCCAAAGGUUGUGCAAGUAAGUGCUUUGUAAAUGGAGACAAAAUAAAUGAAGAUGUCACCAGAUGAUCCAUAAGUUUACCAUAGCUAGCUAAGGGACCAUAAAUCCAGCAAGGAUCCGCAUCUUCCUUAUUAUCCUGUUUUACAUUACCAUCAUCAGUCUCCAUGGGGGAUGCAGGGGCCCUAUUAACUGCAAAGAGCAAUUGACUGGUAGCUUCAAAUGUGGUCAGAACUGAUUGAACAACUCCAUGUCCAUAUAAGCAAUUUACCAAUAUUGGAUUACAAGAAUCUGGCCUGUCCAGUAGAAUGCCAUCUAUGAAAUCAAUAACCUUGCCAAAGUAGCGGCAUUUUGUUGAUAUAGAUACCACUGAUCCAGGAGGACUUGUAUGACCACCAAAAUUCAUGUGAUCCAAAGAAAUGGAAGCAAAAGUCUCAGCCACAACUUUGGAAGAAGGGGAAACAUUCAAAGCAUCAUCUCGCCGUCGAGAAGGAAGUAACAUUGCCUUUCCCAGCUCCUGAAACAAAUGUGCAAUAUGAAAAGAGAGUGACCUCAUCAUGUCACAGCAAGAAGUAUAAUAGGAUCUCUGCUUGUCAUAUUCCUUUUUACUGGAAGUUCCAGCAGCAUCUGAAGUUUCAGAAUGAUGUGAUUGAUGAAUGGAUCCAAAGCGGUUUGAAGGACCAUCAGUGCUCAAUCUUUGUGGAAACCCAGUAGCACGUCCAAGAUCACGGUAAAGGUUUAUGAGGUCAAAAACCUGAGAUUCAAUACUCCAGCCUGAUGUCCUCCUCCUUAAUAGUGGAUCAAGGAACUGCCUAAAGGAAUUAAAUCGUUGCUCUUCGGUCUCAUUUACAUUCAGUUCAGACUGUUGCAAUUCAGAACCAGAACCAGUACCAUCCUCCUCAAUCUCCAGCUUUGCAUCUUCAAGCAAAGCAAUCUGCCAAAGAACUUCACGAUGCAAACUACCAAUAUCCUCCAAAACAUCUUUGCUACCAUUUCCAAAUUCUGUAAGCAGUGCAGUUACCCAGCGAUUGUCUUUUGAGGCAGCAAGAAACAGAAGGAACUCAACAAGGAACAGUGAAGAAAAGAUUUCACCAUCUGGUGUUAUCCUCGGGUCCAGCAAAAAAGAACCUGAAUUCACACCAAAACCAGUCAAAGCUUUCUUUAGAUGGUCCCUAAGAGAAGAACAGAAUUCACGUGCCAGAGUUGCAGAGUGGUGUUGUGUAAAACCCUUGAAAACCAUUGUGCUAUGUAAAGCAAUAGACAUCCCUUCGGACGACUGGACAAUGCUUGGCCGUACUAGAAGUUUCAGCAAUGCUUCAAUUCCCAACUUCUCCACAAACAACCGACAUGUUUCUGAAUUUUCCAUCGUUCUGUGAAGCAGAACCAUCAGAUGAAAGAUGCACAGUUGAACAAACUGUUCAUUACUGACCCCUUCAGCACCCAAAUCAACCUCACCAACUAAACCACAAUGCCCGUCAGUUUCCUUGUCUCCAGAAUCCAUAUCCAUUUCAGUAUUCCCACUAACCUUUCCUGAUGGCCCCGCAGAAUUAUUAUCACCAAAGGAAGCAAUUCUAUCAACAAUUUCAAUAAUUAUAUCAACACCGGUGCCUCUCAAUGAUGAUACAUGACGCAAAAGCUCUUCAACAGCAUUUGCCAAAGGAACAAUGGCUUCAUUCAUGGCUAAAACAUAUUUCUUGCUGGUGAAGAUGUCAACAAGAAACCGUAAUGCUGAAGUUUCUUUCACAGCCUCUAAGCCUUUGGCAUUAAGACAUAUGGCACCAAGACCAUUUGGAACACAAGUAAGAGCCUUAGAAGAAGGAAGUAGCCCGACUACCACCGAGGAUAAAAAUGCAUCUGGAAGACCCAUUUCAUGCAAAGCAGGGAAACAAGUUGGGUCCUUGUGGAUAAUUUCACUCAUAACAGUCACAGCUGAGUAAUAGAUGUCACCCCCAAAUUUGUCUGCAUUCCCAUAUAUCAGCGACAAAGUAGAAGGUAAAGAACUGUCAUGGGAAUUUAGGGAUCUGGUAUUAUUUGAAGGAGCAUGUGUAGCAGAACCAAGUGCCUUCAAAAGAACCUUGAUUAGCCUCUUCUGAGAAUAGAUAUGAUCAUCAUUAUAUCUUGAGAAUUCGCCAAUGAUCAUUGAAUUUUCAUCUUCCCCAGCCAAGCCAAUAAUUCUAUGUACUUCUAUCUGUAAUCUCUGAGCCAAAAGCUCUACUCCCCCUAAUUCCUUAAGCAGGGACACAGCUGAACUACUGUAAUCCAUGAGUUUUUGUAAGGCUUUGACAGCCAAAUAGACAAGGUGCAUGUGAUUAGGAUCUGAAUCUUCCAAAAGAGGUAAGAAUGUAGGAACCAUUCCUGAACCCCUAACAUUACUCCCUGAAGCUGAUGAUGAAACAAUAUGGAGCAAAUAGAACUGAAGAAGCGCUUCAACAAAGGCAAGAGAAGAGGGAUCAUUGGAGUUUUUCAAAGAUAAAACAGCUCUCUGAAGCACAUUCAGUAGAAUCAUGCGGUUCCCCACAGCAAAACUGAUACUAGACCCGCUCAAAAUUCGUGCCCGCUCAUGGGAUGCUGAAUAAGCAGCUAACUGAGCUCCUAAGGCAAGCAUUGCAAGAGUUCUAAUGGUUCCAGGAACAGCUUCCUCUGACCGCACAAUCCUAAUCAACUCAUUUGUAUACUCAGGCUCAUUAGCGAAAAAGGAUGUCAGUUCAUCAUUAGCAUCACUAGACUGAACAAGUACAAUGAACGCAAAGAGGCAAAUCCUGCUGUACAUCCUGCAAACUCUGGGGGAACGAAAAGCCCGAGCAUAUCUAAUUCUGGUUAGCAAAGAAAAUUGAAGGUCAAGAGGCACAUUAUACUGCUCAAUGCACUGUUUCAUCAAUAAAAAAUCAUCUUCCUUCCGUAAAUGUAGAUCCGUCAUGUGUAUGACUUUCAAGCUAGAAGAAUUUGCAUUGCCACUACCAUCCCUCAUAUUUUCAGAAUUGAGACUAUGCAAUUCAAAAUACAGGGUGGAACCAAUCCUGUAUUGAGACUUGUCAUGAUCAUUUUCCACUUCAGAUGGGAAUAAACACAACCCUUCUUCUUGACUUCUCUCAUUUGCAAUGACACAUGAAUACAAGCCCAAGCCCUCCUCCUUGCUUCCCCAGCCCUGUGCAAGGGACAGGAGAUAGCUGUUUACUGAGCCACAUCCAAUCAAUUUCCCACUCCCAUGCAGUUUAGAGGGGUUAAUUUUCACAAGUGCUGAAAGCGUCUCCAAUGUAGCUAUAAGAACCUCAGGGUCUGUGGAUGCUAGCAGGAGCUUGAAAUGCUCUAUGCCAUCAAAUGAACUUUUGUUAUGGCAAUUCUCUAAAAUUAUCUGAAUCACUCGUAGUAUUUGCAAGACAGCAUGCUUUGGAAAUGGACUAUCAUUUUCUGAAACAUCAUCUGACAGGAGAAGUUCAUUCCUACUAGACAGGUAUGUCUUGAAGUAAGUAUCAAAAUGCAGAAACAAUGGCCUCCAAUGAUGAAAAUUACCCUUACUGUAC
rnacentral:misc_RNA from 1 species